rnacentral:rRNA from 1 species
CCCUUAGAUGUUCUGGGCCGCACGCGCGCUACACUGACGAUGGCAACGAGUUUUUCCUUCGCCGAAAGGUGUGGGUAAUCUUUUGAAACAUCGUCGUGCUGGGGAUAGAUCAUUUCAAUUUUUGAUCUUGAACGAGGAAUUCCUAGUAAGCGCGAGUCAUCAGCUCGCGUUGAUUACGUCCCUGCCCUUUGUACACACCGCCCGUCGCUACUACCGAUUGAAUGGUUUAGUGAGGACUCCUGAUUGGCGCCGCCGCCCCGGCAACGGAGCAGCGGACUGCCGAAAAGUUGUUCAAACUUGAUCAUUUAGAGGAAGUAAAAGUCGUAACA